rnacentral:rRNA from 1 species
GUAGGUGGCAAGCGUUGUCCGGAAUUAUUGGGGCGGUAAAGCGCGCGCAGGCGGUUCUUUAAGUCUGAUGUGAAAGCCCACAGCUCAACCGUGGAGGGUCAUUGGAAACUGGAGAACUUGAGUACAGAAGAGGAAAGCGGAAUUCCACGUGUAGCGGUGAAAUGCGUAGAGAUGUGGAGGAACACCAGUGGCGAAGGCGGCUUUCUGGUCUGUAACUGACGCUGAGGCGCGAAAGCGUGGGGAGCAAACAGGAUUAGAUACCCUGGUAGUCCACGCCGUAAACGAUGAGUGCUAAGUGUUAGGGGGUUUCCGCCCCUUAGUGCUGCAGCUAACGCAUUAAGCACUCCGCCUGGGGAGUACGGCCGCAAAGGCUG